rnacentral:rRNA from 1 species
CCUACGGGUGGCAGCAGUGGGGAAUAUUGCACAAUGGGGGGAACCCUGAUGCAGCGACGCCGCGUGGGUGAAGAAGUAAUUCGUUAUGUAAAGCUCUAUCAGCAGGGAAGAAAAUGACGGUACCUGAGUUACAAACCCCCGCUAACGACGGUCCAGCCGCCGCGGUAAUACGUAGGGGGCAAGCGUUAUCCGGAUUUACUUGGUGUAAAGGGAGCGUAGACGGCAGUGCAAGUCUGGAGUGAAAGGCGGGGGCUCAACCCCCGGACUGCUCUGGAAACUGUAUGGCUGGAGUGCAGGAGAGGCAAGUGGAAUUCCUGGGGUAGCGGUGAAAUGCGUAGAUAUUAGGAGGAACACCAGCGGCGAAGGCGGCUGACUGGACUGUAACUGACGUUGAGGCUCGAAAGCGUGGGGAGCAAACAGGAUUAGAUACCCUUGUAGUC